UCCUCCUGCGCGGACGUCCAGGCUGCGUUCCCUUCGUCGUCGUCGCCGUCGCCGCCGCCCCGUCCUCCUCUCCCUCCUGCGUCUCCUGCGUCGCCGGGUCCUGUCGCUCCCGUUCGCACCCCCUCCCCCCCUCCCCAGGUCGCGAGGAGAGACCCGACGAGCCCUGCAGAUUCGUCGGUCAAGAAAACGCCUGUCAGUCUGAGAUGAUCUUAAGAAAAUGUUAAGCAAGAUUAUGUACUAAGAGAGUAAGUGGAAUAAACAGGGAAAUAAGGGAAUAGUAAUAAUUGAAGAGGAGAGGGGAGUAGAAGAAGAAGAAGGAGAACAAUUAUAUGUAGAAAAACACAAAAGAGUAAUAGCAAGAAAGAAGAGAAGAGGAGGAAGACGAAACAGGAAACGAAAAAAAAAGAAAAUACAAGGAAAAAGGAAGAAUUAGAACACACACACACAAAAAUAAAUAAAUAAAACAA